rnacentral:rRNA from 1 species
GUUCGGAUUGCAGGCUGCAACUCGCCUGCAUGAAGUUGGAAUUGCUAGUAAUCGCGGAUCAGCAUGCCGCGGUGAAUACGUUCCCGGGCCUUGUACACACCGCCCGUCACACCAUGGGAGCCGGUAAUACCCGAAGUCAGUAGCCUAACCGCAAGGGGGGCGCUGCCGAAGGUAGGAUUGGCGACUGGGGUGAAGUCGUAACAAGGUACC